rnacentral:rRNA from 1 species
GACGAACGCUGGCGGCGUGUUUAACACAUGCAAGUCGAACGAUGAACCACUUCGGUGGGGAUUAGUGGCGAACGGGUGAGUAACACGUGGGCAAUCUGCCCUUCACUCUGGGACAAGCCCUGGAAACGGGGUCUAAUACCGGAUAACACUGCCACGGGCAUCUGUGGUGGUUAAAAGCUCCGGCGGUGAAGGAUGAGCCCGCGGCCUAUCAGCUUGUUGGUGAGGUAAUGGCUCACCAAGGCGACGACGGGUAGCCGGCCUGAGAGGGCGACCGGCCACACUGGGACUGAGACACGGCCCAGACUCCUACGGGAGGCAGCAGUGGGGAAUAUUGCACAAUGGGCGAAAGCCUGAUGCAGCGACGCCGCGUGAGGGAUGACGGCCUCGG